AUAGGAACCUAUGAGCAUGGGGUAGGUUUAGAGAAAGAACACUUUCACUAUUAUCCCUUGGUUUUAUUCUUGUAAACUAUUUCAAAACUACCUGCCAAUUUCAAAACCACUUGUAUAUCCCAGUUCUUUGGCUUGGUGAAUAAAGGAAACUUUUAUAACAUCUGGAAAGAUGAGAAUGUCAAGCAAAUUAUACUUCCCAAUGAAAUCAUUCUGUUGUAGGCUUUAAACAUGUUGGUUAACAACCUCAGUACAUUGUCACUGAAAUGAUUUGAAGAGAGGGGCCCUUCAUAUCAUAAUUAGCUACUUCAGAGCAAAUUGGAAGAUGGGGUGGGGGACUCUUAGAAGCAGUAGGAGGAAAAUAUAAUAGAAGCAGUUCAUGAAGACGUUUUCAUUUCAGUUUUAGCACAGCUUUGACUGUAUAUCUGGCAGAUUAGCAUACCCUUGUUGCUAUUUAUUCAUCAUAAUAUUUAUGUGUGAGAAAAAGUGGUUGUAAAGUAUAAUUUGUUUGAAAGUUGUUCUUAUGCCUUGGAAUGAAAGGUACUGGGCAAGUACAAAUAUAAGCAUGAUUAUUUUUAUUAUCCUUGGUUUAAAUUCACAACUUAAAAGGGCAGUGAUGAGGGACGGGUUCCUAACACCCAGGAGUUUACGACAGGCCUCUGAAGUACAACUUUGGAUAGACUCUAAAUAUGAAAAACAUGUCUGGCCCAGGAAAACAGAUUUGACCUUUUAAAAAAUUUUAUUUUCCAUUAAGAUAAUGCUAGUACAUGGGCUUUUUCCUAAAAAAAAUCACUCAAAUUCUGUGAGUUUUAUAAGUUUGAAAGCACAUGGCCGAGGCUGUGUGCAUGCAUAGAUGAAAGGAAAAGGCCCCUACUUGAAGAAAGAAGUGAAAUAGCGGAAAGAGAGGCAAAGGAAAAAUAAAAUCAAAUUGAAAUCAAAGGAGAGGUAAAAAUGUCAAUGGAUAAAAAUAGAAGAGUCCCAAUCUUCUUGAAUAUUUUAUGGCGAGCUUUAGAGUGAGCUUGAUCACCCAAAGGACACACCACAGGGAUUAGUGUUCGAAAAUGAACAACAGAUGUUGGAUGUCAACAGACAAUAUCCCAGUGGGUGAAGAGCAUUUAGGGUGAAAGAAAGUAAAACACAUUGUCAGGUGGUCUCUGGUUCUUUGGGUAAAUCUUUUAUGUGGAAUAAGUUUCUCGGGCAGCUAUCAGAGAUUCAUUGGAGCAACCCAAUGGUUUUUCUGGUUAAUGGGCUCCUAAGUGAACAUGGGAGGAAAAUUAAUUAAGCAAUGGUCACUUACAGAAUAGAAUACAUUCUAUAUAUAAGUCACUGUGCUUUGGCAGAAAUCCUUCCCUGAAGGGGAUUGCAACUGAGAAUGAUUCUACGAUUAACAAACGUCUCUGAGCAAGUUGACUUGGGUGGAGACGAAUCACUGCUCUUUGCAUCACUGGGACUUACUCAAAAACAUCUUCCCUGGCCAUCAUAUUUCUAAGAAGAGAGCCAGUGGAGAGAGUAACGAGCCUUCCAUUAAAGAAGAGCGUGGAGGAGAUAGACUGGAGCUGGUGUGCGCCCGUGAUCCCAGAGUUCUAGAAUCUCAUAAACUCACUCGCUCAUAAAACAUGGGUGAAUACUGGGAAAUGCAGUUUCUCCUUCUCUGUCAUGCUGAAUCAACCACCAAGGUGUGCCAGCUAACUACAGUCUGAAGCCUCCAACCAGACCUCUGCUUAUGGGCCUGGUUGUAUGGUCACAUGAAUCCAGGCAACUGAAUAUGGCUAUAAAGGCACAGACUUUACUCUUAAGGUCUCAGGAAGACCACCCAACAGCAAGGGAAACUGAAGGUGAAGUCUACAUAUGCAGGCUUUGAAGAACAUGAUGACACAUGGGGACCAGCCAGAAGAUAUAUGACGCUUGUUAAGCUGGAGCAGCUCAGAUGAUCUGUUUAGCUGUGGGUAGCUCCUCUGGAUUUAAGGGGCUUCCUUUUCAUGGUCUCAUCUUCUGCAGGAGGCAGCUUUUCCAGAAAUAAGCCUCUGAACGUGGGGCUGAGGCAAUGAUCACAGGGAUCUGGUGUCAGCCAUCAUUUUAUGAUGCUCCGUGAAUUCUUCAGAGGCUUCUCUUUACACUUUCUAAAGCUGCCAUAUUUCCCUAUGAGUUGGAAAAUAUUUUCUACCCAUUCUUGAUAGAAAUAUGUGUGAAAAGAGGAUAAAUAGGUUCUAACCCUGGUUUUAUUUGUAAAAUACAUGUGCUUUAGUUUGUUGAGCUUACAGUGUCUCUUUUGAAG
ensembl:lncRNA